rnacentral:rRNA from 1 species
GACGAACGCUGGCGGCGUGCUUAACACAUGCAAGUCGAACGGAGCACCUUUGAAAGAGACUUCGGUCAAUGGAUGAGACUGCUUAGUGGCGGACGGGUGAGUAACGCGUGAGGAACCUGCCUUUCAGAGGGGGACAACAGUUGGAAACGACUGCUAAUACCGCAUGAUGCAUGAUCAGGGCAUCCUGGACAUGCCAAAGAUUUAUCGCUGAAAGAUGGACUCGCGUCUGAUUAGCUGGUUGGCGGGGUAACGGCCCACCAAGUCAACGAUCAGUAGCCGGUCUGAGAGGAUGAACGGCCACAUUGGGACUGAGAUACGGCCCAG